GACGAACGCUGGCGGCGCGCCUAACACAUGCAAGUCGAACGAAGCGUUUUGGUUGAAGGUUUCGGCUGGAAACUAAGAUUGCUUAGUGGCGAACGGGUGAGUAACACGUGAAUAACCUACCUUCGAGUGGGGGACAACAUUUGGAAACAGAUGCUAAUACCGCAUAAGACCACGACCCGGCAUCGGGUUGCGGCCAAAGGAGCAAUUCGCUUGAAGAUGGAUUCGCGUCCAAUUAGCUAGAUGGUGAGGUAAUGGCCCACCAUGGCAACGAUUGGUAGCCGGACUGAGAGGUUGAUCGGCCACAAUGGGACUGAGACACGGCCCAGACUCCUACGGGAGGCAGCAGUGGGGAAUAUUGCACAAUGGACGAAAGUCUGAUGCAGCGACGCCGCGUGAGGGAAGAAGGUUUUCGGAUUGUAAACCUCUGUCUUCGGGGACGAUAAUGACGGUACCCGAGGAGGAAGCCACGGCUAACUACGUGCCAGCCGCCGCAGUAA
rnacentral:rRNA from 1 species